GGUUGCGAUCAUACCAGCACUAAUGCACCGGAUCCCAUCAGAACUCCGCAGUUAAGCGUGCUUGGGCGAGAGUAGUACUAGGAUGGGUGACCCCCUGGGAAGUUCUCGUGUUGCAACCCCCUUUUUUUUAUUUACUAGUCGCUGUAUCUUUGGCGUAGCAUGCGAGCGGCCGAUUUUGUGAAAGGAAGGCUUUGACGAAUGCGCGCGCGCGCACGGCGGGCCCGGGGCGCGUGACGUAGGCCACACAUGAGGGCAUAGGUGCGAAUGGGAUCAAGGCGUGGAAAGGUAUAAAGGAAUAAGGAGAAGGUAUUCUUUCGGUUGCGAUCAUACCAGCACUAAUGCACCGGAUCCCAUCAGAACUCCGCAGUUAAGCGUGCUUGGGUGAGAGUAGUACUAGGAUGGGUGACCCCCUGGGAAGUCCUCGUGUUGCAACCC
rnacentral:lncRNA from 1 species